rnacentral:rRNA from 1 species
GGUGAACGCUGGCGGCGUGCCUAAUACAUGCAAGUCGAGCGAACGGACGAGAAGCUUGCUUCUCUGAUGUUAGCGGCGGACGGGUGAGUAACACGUGGAUAACCUACCUAUAAGACUGGGAUAACUUCGGGAAACCGGAGCUAAUACCGGAUAAUAUUUUGAACCGCAUAGUUCAAAAGUGAAAGACGGUCUUGCUGUCACUUAUAGAUGGAUCCGCGCUGCAUUAGCUAGUUGGUAAGGUAACGGCUUACCAAGGCAACGAUGCAUAGCCGACCUGAGAGGGUGAUCGGCCACACUGGAACUGAGACACGGUCCAGACUCCUACGGGAGGCAGCAGUAGGGAAUCUUCCGCAAUGGGCGAAAGCCUGACGGAGCAACGCCGCGUGAGUGAUGAAGGUCUUCGGAUCGUAAAACUCUGUUAUUAGGGAAGAACAUAUGUGUAAGUAACUGUGCACAUCUUGACGGUACCUAAUCAGAAAGCCACGGCUAACUACGUG